rnacentral:RNase_P_RNA from 1 species
UCAGAUGGCUGGAUGGCCGCCCCGCCGCGUCCCCCGUGGACCGGCGGGGAGGAAAGUCCGGGCUCCACGGAAACACGGUGCCGGAUAACGUCCGGCGGGGGCGACCCUAGGGAAAGUGCCACAGAAAGCAAACCGCCCGUCCGCCGGUCUUCGGACCGCGCCGACGGGUAAGGGUGAAAGGGUGCGGUAAGAGCGCACCGCCCCCCUGGCGACAGGGGGGGCACGGUAAACCCCACCGGGAGCAAGACGGAGUAGGAGCGGCCGGCCCAGCCCUUCGGGGCGGGGGCCAGGCGUGUUUUCGCGCCGCCGCUCGGGUAGGUCGCGCGAGGCGUCCGGCGACGGACGUCCCAGAUGAAUGGCCAUCCAUCGUGUCCGGGUCCGCCCGGACGCGGGGACAGAACCCGGCUUACAGGCCAUCUGACGCU